CCAGACCCAUCCCCCACCUGCCAGUUCGGAGUCCACCUGGUGAAGCAACAGCAUUUCUGAAACUCCCUCUGUAUGCAAAGUGCUGUUGAAACUUGAAUGCCGGGGAAGUCCCCUAGAAGGUCUCUACCCUGGAGGGUUUACACGUAGAGCACAGACAAGGUGGCAGAAAACAGUGGAGCAGCCCUGAGCAGUGCUGGGGGACUGUACUAACUGGAACUUGGAAGUAUGUAAGGAUGAAAUGAAAAGUUUGCUGAUCAGAGACUGGGAGAGUUUAAGUAACUUUCCCAAGAUGACUCAGCAACGAAGUUUGGACCAGGAUUCAAACCAAACUGGGUAAGGCUUUCUAUGUUAUGACGUGACUGACCUCUGAUUCAUUUACCUAACUGCCUCCUCUUCUAUCAGAGCCUGGCUCUGGAGUGGAAAGCCAAUGCACAUCUGUUGAAUGGAAUUGAUUUGAAGAGAGCUGGCAAUUAGAAGCCUUCUGAGAUGGCGUGCAGACGGUGGGACAAGGUGCUUCAGAAUAAAAGAUGAAUUAAGUAAGCGGGAGCCAAUUAGCAGAGGAUCGUACAGCCUAAGAUAAGGAGCUUUAAUUUGAUAGGAGACAAUUGGGAGCCAUUCAUCGUGGAGCUGCAGAAAGGUGGUGACAAGCCCCUAAUGACACUCAAGGGCCUUUGAAACCUUUAAUUGCUGCUUGUAAUUUUGCUAUUUCCAUGUUGAAGUGACAGUGACACAGGAGGAUAAGCAGGGAGCUGCCAGGUGACCCAGACUGCAGAGACUCCAGCAAGGUCACCCUGAGAGAACGGCCCUGCCCCUCGUGAGAGCUGGAGUGCUGCAAAGACCCAGGAUCCCUUCACGUCUUCCGUCUGAUGCAAAACACUUGGGAAGCCAGUAGCCAGGCCUGACCUUCAAAAGCCAGAGAGUGCCAACAGCAGAACAGAUUCCAGACAAACAGGACAAUGGCCUUUUCAGGCCACAGAAUGCAGCUCAGUAUUGUAAUUUUUGCCUGUGAUGCAGCUUCUUGAACACACACAAACCUCUCAUUUUUACCUACCCCAUGACGGUGACUUAUUUACUGCUGAAGACGCUGGAGCUGAUUCAAGCUGCAAACCACUACUCCCACCCCAAAAGGGGUGGGAGUAAAAUCCACACAUAUGCAAGAAAAGCCAAGCGAUGGGAAACUGCGGGGCUGCAAGUCCGAGAGGGGCACCAGGUGCAUUAAUUACACUUGAUUGCACACUGGUUUAUUACUGCGGCCACUUGUGGGCAAUGAUCUGUCCCCGUGUCUGUGUGAAGGAUAUCCUUGGUAUUUUGCUAAGCAAGAUGAAUAUUGGCCAGAUGGUGACUUCAUGAGGACAUAAUUCACAUAGCAUUUUCCUGCCCCAACACAGAUUUCUGUGAAGGAAUCUUGAAUGCCAUGCUGAACAAAACAGAACAAGAAAACCCAACCCCCGAAAAGGCUCAGCCGUAAGCUGAAGAUGGAUGGUGUCGGCAGGGCCUCUGACAGGACCCAAAUGGCAGGCAGCUCCCAGGCUUGGCACUGCAGGUCUUGCCAGCCCAUCUCCCCGUCUCUUGCAGAGUGAGCUGACAUCAUUUGCAGCGUUUCCAGUUUGCUCUGCAUGGGGAGGGCAGACUCUGAGCCCCAAAUGACAAGCUGCAGAAACUGGGUCACUUGCCUUUUUAUUUUUUUAAUUAACUUUGUGCAGUGACAGGACUUGUCAGCACCUGCUUUCUCUGUAAUUUGAUUUUGACGAUGACCAAGCGGAUAAUGUUCUCUCGGCUCCAACAGUGUGGGUUGGCGCUGGAAGAGAAAAAGUGGGAGAGGAGCAAGUAUCUCACCUUUGACCUUCUUAAAAAGCAGUACCCUCAUGAAUGUUUAGAGCAGCUUUAUUCAGAAGUACUACAAUUCAGAAGCCACCAAGAUAUCCUUGCACGGGGAAAGGACAACGAAACUGUGGUAUAUCCAUACAAUGCAGUAUUACUCAGUGAAAAAAAUAAAUGAACCAUCGGGCUACAAAAUAGACAUAGAGGAACUUUAAAUGCAUUGGGCCAAGUGAAAGGCACCAGUCUGCAAAGGCUACAUACUCUAUGAUUCCAAAUACACGACAUUCUGGAAAAGGCAAAUCUACAGACAGUAAAAAGAUCAGGGGCUGCCAAGGGUUCAGGGAAGGAGUGAGGAGAUGAAUAGGUGGUGCACAGGGCAUUUUUAAGGUAGCAAAAUGCUUUUGAUGCUGUAAUGGUGGGUACAUGACAUCAUGCGUUUAUCAAAAUCCAACUGAUGCAAAGGAGAAGCCCUAAGGUAAACUACGGACUUCCAUUACUAGUAACUGGUAUUAGCUGAAUCAUGUUCCCCAUGAAGCCAUGUCCACUUCCUAACCCCCGGUCCUGUGGAUAUAAACUCAGUGGUAAAUGGAUCAUCUGUAAAUGGGAUUCAAAGAUAAGGGUAGGCUUUGCUGCAUUAUGACCAGUGUCCCUAUAAGCUGAGGAAAUUCGGACUCGGUAGCAGGAGUCAGGGGGAGACAGAUGGGGAGAGAGGUGGACAGGGAAGGAGGCCGGGGCUGAGCGAUGGGCUGCUGGCAAGCAGACGUUAGAGACUUCAGAAAAAGCAGGACUCUGCCAGUACCUUGACAUUGGGCUUCCUGCCUCCAAAGCCCCGAGCCAACCAGCCUGUAGUAUUUAUCACUUCAGCCCCAGUGAAUUCCGACAAUAAUGUAUCAGCAUUGGUUCAUCAUUGGUAACAAAUGCCCCACACUAAUGCAUAAUAGGGGAAAUUGUGUGGUAGUGGUGGUGACUCUGUGCUUUCUGUACAGUUUUUCUGUAAACCUGAAACUGCUUUUAAAAAUAAGUCUAUUAAAAAACAUACCAAGAGGACCUGGUAUUAUCGGGCCAUCAGCUAGUAAGCAAAAUGGGCUAGUUUCGAGGUGGUUUAGAAAUGUUUUUACUCCCUAAGGAGUAAUAUUUAUCAGACACACGUGGAGUUCCAAAUUAGGCAUUACACACCUGUCAGUGGCAAUUUAAAUGUCUUAAGCCCAUCUGGAAUUCGUGAAAUUCCUACAACCUACACACUUGAGUCUGAAACCACAAAGUAAGUACAUUGAGACUGAAAGUCAUGCAGCUUCAAAACAAGGGCAGCUCAAGACAGUUCAAAAGCAAAUGUCACCAGUGUGGAGCUUGUGGGCUGGGUGUGGCCACAUCCCUGGGGGUCCCUGCCCACCACCCCUCCAUGUCAGGACCAAAGCCAUCCAGGCAAGCCAAUGCUUUGUGGCUGCUAUUUGUCCGUUUUAAGGAAUAAACAGUCACACCUGUAAUAAAGGAGUGACUGACUUCAAACACUGUUGGCAGCCAGUUCUUGCACACUUGCUGAGUGUGAGACUCUGCUGAGCACAACUCCACAAAUCCUUGAAGCCCGUGUGAGAAGGAACUGUCGAGCGAAUGUCAGAUUGCCUGUUCAAACACUUACUGGCUGUGUGACCUCACACAAGUGACUUAACCUCUCUGAGUGCCGGUUUCCUCCUCUGUUCAGUGGGAAUGAGGAGAGAACCCAGCACAAAGGCUGGUGAGAACUGAGUGAGAGGGUGCUGUGAAAGCUUGAUAGGGAGCCUGGCAUACCCAGGUGCUCAAAAAGAUCUGCAAUUAUUAUUAUCCAGAUCUUGCAGCUGUGGAAGUGAAACAGUGCAUCUAAAAAGCUCCACCGAGGGCACUUCGCUAUUAAGUGGUAAAAAUAAGAUCGGAACCCAGCCCCUCCUCGGCUGCCGCCUCCUGCUCUGAGAACUGAUGCAAAUUCAUGGCAAAAAGCCCAGUGACAACAGUCCCUCCUCUUCUGGCAGGCUGAGCAUUGGCAGACAGUCCACCAUGCCCUUAGAAAAACCUCUAUUGUUUCCUUGGAAGGCCUUUUGAUCCUCCAAAAUAAAAUGCUACUUUUUGUUUUU